rnacentral:rRNA from 1 species
UACAGAGGUCUCAAGCGUUGUUCGGAUUCAUUGGGCGUAAAGGGUGCGUAGGCGGCGCGGUAAGUCGGGUGUGAAAUCUCGGAGCUUAACUCCGAAACUGCAUUCGAUACUGCCCUGCUUGAGGACUGGAGAGGAGACUGGAAUUUACGGUGUAGCGGUGAAAUGCGUAGAUAUCGAUAAGGAAGACCAGGUGGCGAAGGC